rnacentral:rRNA from 1 species
GAUCGAAUGGGGAGAUUCAUCGUCAGCCGCUUUGGCUUCCGUGUGAACGCGAUGAUCGGGGCUUCGGCUCUGCGUCACGCGUUUGCUGCGGCAUGUCUGGAGUGGUCGGCGUGCACUUCUCCCCUAGUAGGACGUCGCGAUUCGUUGGGUGUCGGUUUACGGACCGGUAGGUCGCCUGGCGUAUCUCGUUCACGCGAGUUUGUGUCAGACCUCUGGAUUCCCAACCGGCUGCCCGGCGGUAUAAAACGAUAAUUAAACGGUAUUGGGCCGCAUUGAAUGCGUUCAGGCUCGUAGGCAGGCUUGUCUCGCUCGGAUUUACGGACCUAGUGCCGUUGCCGGGUGCUUGGCGAACUGUGGCUUGCGAUGUCCUCGGACUGGCUCUUGAAUAUUCUUACGAAUAUACCGAUCGGCGACGCUACUGCUUUGGGUACUUUCAGGACCCGUCUUGAA